rnacentral:lncRNA from 1 species
AUUUGAGGCCCAUUCAAUAAAACUCUCUUAACUACGAAUAAUAUAGCAAUCGGACUAUAUAUAUAGAGAGGGAGAGUUUGGAUAUAAUACUAUCGAUAGUAUCAAACACUUGGUGCUAUUGAGUUUUCUACCGUUAAAUUUAUCUUUUUGACCAUUUUCAGCCAUUAAAUUAUAUUAUUCAACCAACCACCAUCUCAAUUCUAAAAAACUGCUAUCAUCCUUAUCAGCAACCAUAUAUCGCUUCAUUGAAGAGCCGAAAACCUAAUAACACCAAUGACUUACUAUUAUUAAUAGUAUUCUAGUCUAAUUCUACAUAUAUAUAUAUAUAUAUAUAUAUAUAUAUGGUAAAAUAUUAAAUAAUUUAAUUUAGAAAAUAAAGUAUGAAGCAGUGUACCGAUGUAUGAAGCAGAUAAAAUUCUUGGAAAAAGGUUCAGCCUUAACGGCUUCCGAAAGCGCG